GGACCCCACUGCUAUCGAGAUGGGACUAAGGUAUGCUAGUCGAACGAACUGAACUAUGUCAGUUAGUGGCACACUGCUCAGUAACACGUAGCUAACCUACCCUUAGGACGUGGAUACCCCCGAGAAAUUGGGGUUAAUCCGCGAUAGGUGUAAUGUCCUGGAAUGGUAUUACGCCUAAAGGUAAUUCAUACAUGUUUGAAUUAUGCCUAAGGAUGGGGCUGCGGCCGAUCAGGCAGUUGGUGAGGUAAUGGCUCACCAAACCUUUGACCGGUACGGGCCAUGAGAGUGGUAGCCCGGAGAUGGACACUGAGACAAGGGUCCAGGCCCUAAGGGGCGCAGCAACCGCGAAACCUCCACAAUGCACU
rnacentral:rRNA from 1 species